CCCUUAGAUGUUCUGGGCUGCACGCGCGCUACACUGAUGCAUGCAUCGAGCUUUUAACCUUGGCCGGCAGGUCCGGGGAAUCUUGUAAUAUGCAUCGUGCUGGGGAUAGAGUAUUGCAAUUAUUACUCUUCAACGAGGAAUUCCUAGUAAACGCAAGUCAUCAGCUUGCAUUGAUUACGUCCCUGCCCUUUGUACACACCGCCCGUCGCUACUACCGAUUGAAUGGCUUAGUGAGUUUCACGGACCGCAGCACCUGUUUCGCUUUCGUGGCGAGCGGGAGUCGUGGGAAGUGCUGCAAACUUGACCAUUUAGAGGAAGUAAAAGUCGUAACA
rnacentral:rRNA from 1 species